rnacentral:rRNA from 1 species
AACGAACGCUGGCGGCAUGCCUAACACAUGCAAGUCGAACGAGACCUUCGGGUCUAGUGGCGCACGGGUGCGUAACGCGUGGGAAUUUGCCCUUGGGUUCGGAAUAACAGUUGGAAACGAAUGCUAAUACCGGUUGAUGACGUACGUCCAAAGAUGUAUCGCCCAAGGAUGGGCCCGCGUAGGAUUAGCUGGUUGGUGAUGUAAAGGCUAACCAAGGCCACGAUCCUUGACUGGUCGGAGAGGAUGGUCAGCCACGCUGGGGAUGCGACACGGACCAGAAUCCGACGGAGAACAGCAGUGGAGAGUAUUAGGCGAUGGACGAAGGCGUGGUCCCGCAGUGCGGCGUAAGAGAUGAAGGCCUUAGGGUUGUAAAGCUGUUUUACACGGGAUGUUAAUGACGGUACCGGGAAAAUAAGCUCCGGCUAACUCCGUG